UACGUAGGUGGCGAGCGUUGUCCGGAUUUACUGGGCGUAAAGCGCGCGCAGGCGGCAGUCUAAGUCCUCUGUGAAAUCACCCGGCUCAACUGGGUGGCUGCGGAGGAGACUGGGCAGCUUGAGGGGCCUAGAGGCCGGUGGAACAAAUGGUGGAGCGGUGAAAUGCGUAGAUAUCAUUUGGAACGCCAAUGGUGAAAACAAGUAGCUGGGGAUGUGCUGACGCUGAGACACGAAAGCCAGGGGAGCAAACGGG
rnacentral:rRNA from 1 species